rnacentral:tRNA from 1 species
GGUGGCUCAGGGUAGAGCGCUUGCCUUCCAUGCAUGAGGCCCUGGGUUCAAUUCCUCAGCACCA